AGUCGGGCCUGCCCAGUGAUAGAUAUUUAACGGCCGCGGUACUCUGACCGUGCGAAGGUAGCAUAAUCAUUUGCCUUAUAAUUAAGGGCUUGUAUGAAUGGUCUGACAAGAGCAUCGCUGUCUCCUUAAAAAUUUAUAAAAUUUGGUUUUUAGGUGAAGAAACCUAAAUAUAAUUGAAAGACAAGAAGACCCUAUCGAGCUUUAAAAAAAUAAAUUAAAAAAUAUAAAUAUAAAAAUUAAUUUUAAUUUAAAAUUUUGGUUGGGGCGACUGAGGAACAUGCAAAGCUUCUUUUAUUAAAAAAUGCAUAUAGGCUAUGAUCCAAAAAAUUUGAUUAAAAAAAUUAGUUACCGUAGGGAUAACAGCAUAAUUUUUUUUAAGAGUUCUUAUCGAAAAAAAGGUUUGUGACCUCGAUGUUGGACUAGGAUAUCCUAAUAGAUGCAGAAGUCUUUAAAGGUUGGUCUGUUCGACCACUAAUAUCCUACGUGAU
rnacentral:rRNA from 1 species